rfam:Fusibacter sp. 3D3 DNA, contig: 8.
GGGCGUAUAGCUCAGCUGGUUAGAGCGCACGCCUGAUAAGCGUGAGGUCGGUGGUUCGAGUCCACUUAUGCCCA